rnacentral:rRNA from 1 species
UACGUAGGGUGCAAGCGUUAAUCGGAAUUAUUGGGCGUAAAGAGCUCGUAGGCGGUGUGUCGCGUCGGCCGUGAAAACCUGGGGCUCAACUCUGGGCGUGCGGUCGAUACGGGCAUCACUUGAGUUCGGCAGGGGAGACUGGAAUUCCUGGUGUAGCGGUGAAAUGCGCAGAUAUCAGGAGGAACACCGGUGGCGAAGGCGGGUCUCUGGGCCGUAACUGACGCUGAGGGGCGAAAGCGUGGGGAGCGAACAGGG